UCCCCGUUCACCGGGGCAGUCCCCUCAGAGUGCCCGGCAUAACCCGAUGGCAACAAAGGGCAAGGGUUGCGCUCGUUGCGGGACUUAACCCAACAUCUCACGACACGAGCUGACGACAGCCAUGCAGCACCUGUGCAUCGGCCCCGAAGGGAAGACAGCUUUCACUGCCGGUCCGAUACAUGUCAAACCCAGGUAAGGUUCUUCGCGUUGCGUCGAAUUAAACCACAUGCUCCACCGCUUGUGCGGGCCCCCGUCAAUUCGUUUGAGUUUCAGCCUUGCGACCGUACUCCCCAGGCGGGGCACUUCAUGCGUUAGCGCCGGUACUCCAAGGGUCGCUCCCCGGAGCACCUAGUGCCCAUCGUUUACGGCGUGGACUAC
rnacentral:misc_RNA from 1 species